rnacentral:rRNA from 1 species
UCGAGAAUUUUUCACAAUGGGCGAAAGCCUGAUGGAGCGACGCCGCGUGGGGGAUGAAUGGCUUCGGCCCGUAAACCCCUGUCAUUUGCGAACAAACCUAUCCACCUAACACGUGGAGAGCUGAUUGUAGCGGAAGAGGAAGGGACGGCUAACUCUGUGCCAGCAGCCGCGGUAAUACAGAGGUCCCAAGCGUUGUUCGGAUUCACUGGGCGUAAAGGGUGCGUAGGCGGUCAGGUAAGUCUGAUGUGAAAUCUCGGAGCCUAACUCCGAAACUGCAUUGGAUACUAUCUGGCUAGAGGAAUGGAGGGGAGACUGGAAUGCUCGGUGUAGCAGUGAAAUGCGUAGAUAUCGAGCGGAACACCAGUGGCGAAGGCGAGUCUCUGGACAUUUCCUGACGCUGAGGCACGAAAGCCAGGGGAGCAAACGGGAUUAGAUACCCCCGUAGUCC